UAGGUGUUGUGGUCUAGAAGCAGAAGG
rnacentral:piRNA from 1 species